rnacentral:rRNA from 1 species
UGAGGAAUAUUGGUCAAUGGGCGCAAGCCUGAACCAGCCAUCCCGCGUGCAGGAAGACGGCGCUAUGCGUUGUAAACUGCUUUUCCAGGGGGAGAAACUUGCGCACGUGUUGCGCAAUUGACGGUACCCUGGGAAUAAGCAUCGGCUAACUCCGUGCCAGCAGCCGCGGUAAUACGGAGGAUGCGAGCGUUAUCCGGAUUCAUUGGGUUUAAAGGGUGCGUAGGCGGACUAUUAAGUCAGUGGUGAAAUCCUGCAGCUUAACUACAGAACUGCCAUUGAUACUGAUAGCCUUGAGUUUGGUUAAGGUGGGCGGAAUGUGUAAUGUAGCGGUGAAAUGCUUAGAUAUUACACAGAACACCAAUUGCGUAGGCAGCUUACUGAGCCGACACUGACGCUGAGGCACGAAAGCGUGGGGAUCGAACAG